rnacentral:lncRNA from 1 species
AUUGUGUUAAAUACACCAAAGCCUUCUUCGCUAAUUUCUCUGAAUUUUCUUUUGUUGAAGCUUGUAUGUUAAAGCUUUGUGAGUGGAGCAUAUAGGUUGAGGUAGUAUUCCCUUAAUUUCCCGAGUGAGGAAAACUUCUCGGUUGGAGACUUGGAAAAUCCAAGUCACUGAGUGAGAUCGGCUAUAUGAAUCUUUGAACGCCAUUGUGCUCGGUCCUGUGUCAUGUCCUCCGUUAGAUCCAAGUACUCUAAGUCUUUUCUUAGAGUCUCUUCCAAAGUUUUCCUAGGUCUUCCUCUACCCCUUCGGCCUUGAACCUCUGUCCCUAGUCGCAUCUUCUAAUCGGAGCGUCAGUAGGCCUUCUUUGCACAUGUCCAAACCACCGUAACCAAUUUUCUCUCAUCUUUCCUUCAAUUUUGGCUACUCCUACUUUACCUCGGAUAUCCUCAUUCCUAAUCUUAUCCU